CACGUAGGGGGCAAGCGUUGUCCGGAUUUAUUGGGCGUAAAGAGCUCGUAGGCGGUUCGGUAAGUCGGGUGUGAAACCUCCAGGCUCAACCUGGAGAGGCCACCUGAUACUGCUGUGACUCGAGUCCGGUAGGGGAGCGUGGAAUUCCUGGUGUAGCGGUGAAAUGCGCAGAUAUCAGGAGGAACACCGAUGGCGAAGGCAGGUCUCUGGGCCACUACUGACGCUGAGAAGCGAAAGCAUGGGGAGCGAACAGG
rnacentral:rRNA from 1 species